GACGAACGCUGGCGGCGUGGAUUAGGCAUGCAAGUCGAACGGUAUCAUCCUUUCGGGGGUGAGAGAGUGGCGAACUGGUGAGUAACACGUAGGUUAUCUACCCUCAAGACGGGGACAACCCAGGGAAACUUGGGCUAAUACCGGAUGUGAGCAACUUUUUAGUUGUUUGAAAGGUGGCGUAAGCUGUCGCUUGGGGAUGAGCCUGCGUCCUAUUAGUUAGUUGGUGAGGUAACGGCUCACCUAGGCAAUGAUAGGUAGGCGGCCUUAACGGGUGGUCGCCCACACUGGGAUUGAGAUACGGCCCAGACUCCUACGGGAGGCAGCAGUCGAGAAUAGUCUACAAUGGUCGGAAGACUGAUAGUGCGACGCCGCGUGAACGAUGAAUCCCUUCGGGGUGUAAAGUUCUUUUCUAUACGAGCAGUGCUAUAUAUAUGGAUAGUAUAUAUAGAGGGAUAGUAGUAUAGGAAUAAGCAACGGCUAACUCCGUGCCAGGCAGCCGCGGUAAAC
rnacentral:rRNA from 1 species